GGGAAGGUAGAAGCAAGUUGUACAGCUGAGAAGAGAAUGCAAGACAGUAGAAAAAAAUUUGAAAAGAGAAAAUAAAAGAAAGAGGAAGAAGACUGCAGCACUACCACAGGAUGCUUGGAGGAGUAGAAACUUGAAGGUCCAACUAUAGACGAUAAACGAAGUGCUUUGUGGGACGCAAACCGAAUGUUGAGUCAGGUAAUAAGCUUUUGGGAGGACAACCCAAUUUCUUUGAGUCAUUUGAGUUUAAGAGUUUUGCUACACUAGUCACUUCUUGUUCUUAUGGAUGUUUUUAUCGAACACUUUGAUGCAUGAUUCUUUGCUUGAUCGUUAACAUUUUAUGCUUCUUUUCAAACCUUUCAACCAAACCUAUGACAUAACCCAUUCUAUUUUUGUUUCUUUUUAUCCCCCAUGAAAAACCCAGAACCGGAGGAGCUAAAAACCCCUUAGGCC
rnacentral:lncRNA from 1 species